CUGUCAGUUCCGGCGCAGUGCUCUUAUUACUGCUAUUACUACUACAGUUAUGUACAUACUAUGCAACAAGACAGCGCUGUUACUAUUAUUACUACUACUACUCAUCGUCGAGUUCUUCGUCUUCGGCUGGAACGAUAGCUGGCGGAGUAAUUGGAGGUAUUUUUGGGCUGGUUGCUUUUUGCACCUUUGUUGCUUUGUGUGUGGCAAAAUAUGCAAAAAGCAAAACCGCUGCCAAGUCAUGGUGCGCCCUCAGCAGCCUGCGGUCUAUACUAGUUCAACUACACAAUAAGGAUAUCAACAGCCACCAGCUCCUGCUCACCCCUAUCCGCCACCAUCGUAUUCGAGUGGACAGCUUUUCUCUCAAAAUGGAUAGGACACUGCAGAUUCCUUAUUUUACGCGAGUUUUUUUUAUUUCGCUAGGCAGUCGUUUUUAUAAUGAUUUCAAGUAAUUUGCUGUUUUCGAUUCUUGAAUUGACCAUUAAUAUUUACAUCAAGAUCAUUGAAUUUUUUUGAUUAUUUGUCCUAAAACAUUUGCUUACAGUUUCUGGAUAUCGCAUUUGAGCUACAUACAGAUAUAUGACCAUUUUUUAAUAACCUUGAUUAUUUUAUGGGCGAAAUUUGGAACAUCAAUUUAACAUGACAGCAUUUGUAUUCUGAAUAUGAUUGACUUUAGUUGUACUAUGGUAUGAAUAUUAAUAUGCAGUUUUUUACGCUUAUUUUAUUGUACUUGUGUGUCUUUGAUAUGCUGAGUUUGGUGACAGUUUGUUAUUAUUCAUUUACCAAGUAUUUUACUCUUUUCCCUUCUUUGAUUUUAAAAGACUUUUUUUCAAACAUUGAAUAAAAUUUAAAAAGAACAAUUUCAUUAAUUAUCACAAAUGUGCAAAGGUCUCAGACUGAGUGGCUCCUCAUAAUUACCGUUGUUGUCAUAAUACACUAUUCAGUUUGACAAGCAUCUGGGCUGCAGAUCAACUGACAAUUUCCAGAAUGUUAUUAAUGUAUGAAACAAUUUUCGUUACUUCUCUUGAACAAUUGAACCAAUGGACGUGAACAAAUGGAGAUGUGUUUUAAAUCCACUGUCGUUGUAACAAUCCACAUGGUAGACGCCUACUUAUUUGGUUAUGUUGAUUGCCUUACUGAAACAGUGCACAUCUUCUUUGACAUGAAGUGUUGUUUUGAUUUUAUUUUGUCGAGCAAUUGUAAUUAUAAAGUAAGAAGAAAUUUGAAUAUUACUAGUUUCAGUUUGUUCCCGACUUAAGGUGGCAUUCUACACCCACAGUUUAUUCCAAAUUUCGAUAGAAAACCACACAACAUAUACAUAUCAAAUAUUAAAGAAUAAUAGUGCUACUAUAGGUAUCUUUAAAGAAUUUUUAAAUGUUUUUUGUGUUUUUGUAAAAUAAAUUUU